UACAGAGGGUGCAAGCGUUGUUCGGAAUUAUUGGGCGUAAAGCGCGUGUAGGCGGCUUUGCAAGUCGGGUGUGAAAGCCCUCAGCUCAACUGAGGAAGUGCGCCCGAAACUGCAGAGCUUGAGUACCGGAGAGGAUGGCGGAAUUCCCCAAGUAGAGGUGAAAUUCGUAGAUAUGGGGAGGAACACCGGUGGCGAAGGCGGCCAUCUGGACGGAUACUGACGCUGAAACGCGAAAGCGUGGGGAGCAAACAGG
rnacentral:rRNA from 1 species